CUUGAGAGUUUAUCCUCUGCAAAGUGACGAGUUAGCCUGCUGCUUAAGCAGAAGACCCAAGACUUCUAUGUCAGAGACAAAGGGUUUUAAUCACCUACAGGGUUAGGGUUAGCAAAGCUUCAUGCUUUUACAUGGGCUCUCUUGCCCUCUCACUCUUAAGGUAAUGAAAAGAAGGCCAGGUGCAGGUCAUACACAUUGCAAGCUUGUUUCUGAACCGAGGGAAAUGGACUGAGGAGCCCGAAAUCCCUAUAAAAGGCAGUAAGUUGACUUGUCCUUUUCUCCCUGAAAGGAUAAAUUAUCUUUACCAUGUCAGACAACAAAUCAGACUUUUGCUCCUGAGGGAGCCACUGUCUUUGAGACUGUUGACUAUGUAACAGUUGAAAAAAGAAAAACUGUGAUUUGCUUGCAGAAGCAGAGAGCCAUCAAGCAGUCUCCAGUGGCAGAUCACACAAGUCCUUACAACCCUGAGAGGAGAAUUGGUGUGGACACACUAAGAGUGACAGUAAAGGGGGAAUUCACUUUUCUUGGGCCUGGGAAGGUGGCUCAGUUAAUAAAGUGCCUGGCAUGCAAAUGUCAGAACCUGAUUUCAGAUUCCCAGCAACAAUCACAAAAUCUCUGUGGUUGACAAGUUCUCACUUUUAUUAAUGAGCUUCUUGUUCUCUCUCAGAUCUGAAGGGCAUCUAAGGCAGCAUGCGGCCACAGUCCCUGAAGCCAUUCUGCUUUGCAUCACAAACCAAUUGUCAAAGCAGGUCUGUUCACAUGUUCAUUCUGAGGCUCGGGGUGACCUGCAGCUCUAAGGAGGUGACGAUCAUACCACUGAUGGCAUGAGAACUGGAGGGAGAUGUACCACUACAGAGCCCAUGAGUGAGAGAGAGUUUAAAGACAGGGAAGCUGUGUGCCCGAAGCAGUGAGAGUAAGGGCAAGUGAAGGGUCAGGGACAGGAUACUCCUAGACCACACUACAUGGGGCACAGCAGCCUGAGGGAGAGAGGUCUGGAGGAAGUGAUGGAGGAAGUGAUGGGUAAUCCCAAUUGUCAAUGAAGAACUUAAAAUCAUCUGAGAGAUGGGCCCCAGGGCCUGCUGAAGGAGAGUAUCUUAAUCAGGUUCACUGUUGUAGGAAGACCAACCCACAGUGGGUGGCACCACUCCCUGUGCCAAGCUCCUGGUUUGUAUAAAAAGGAGGAAGUGAGAAGGGCAAAGCGUUCAUGAGACCAGUUGCCUCAAGCUCUUUGCAGCUUCUUCCCCAUGAUGUUCUACCUCAAAUUGAGAGCUAAAAUAAGCCUUUUCUUCCUUGAAUGGCUUUGUCACACCAAUAGGAAAAGUUAACCAAUACAGAGUGUGAUUCUCAACCUGUUCUUUCCAGGAUCCAGAGGGAACGUCUCAGUGUGGUAACAAACACUGAAGGGCAAAGCCUCUUAGAUGAGCACAUCUGUCUUUGUGUCUAUGCAGAUCCCAUUGGUAAAAGCAUGUUCCACAGCUGAACCCAAAGACCGGGUGAAAAUGUUCACUGCCUUUCGUGGGAAGAAGGUUAAAGUUACAACGGCUUCCUCUGCUCAUAACACUACCAAAGAAUGAUGGAAGGAAAAUAGUGAAUUUGCUGGCAUCAGUAAGAUGGGUAGCUCUUGCUACCCUACUGAAUUAUCCAUGUAAGCAAUCUUCAUAUCUAUUUAUACAUCACUGGGAGUCCUCUUAUUAUAUGUCCUCGGGGAAAUAUCUUGGGGAGAGCUAGUCUUUGGAACCAUUCUUAUUUGAAAAAUUGCUACAAAUCCUGCACUAGCAGAUUCAAUCAUUUGUUUUUAGAAACAAUGAGGUCUAAUUCUUAAUGGCAUAUGUUCUCUCUGUUGUACUUGCUAACAUCUAUUUUUAGCCGAUCAUGGGCAAUGAAAAUGUUUUUGGUUAAGGAAAUGGUAUCAGUAACAAUGUGAGAUUUAAAGUUCUGCCUAACUAAGUAGUUCUGGAUAUGAUUAAAGAUUUUAAGUUAUGUAAGUAUGAUAUUACUUACUGGUAUGCUGUUUCAGUCAUAUAAAAAUAAACGUGGUUGCCGGGCAUUGAUGGAGCAUGCCUUUAAUCCCAGCACUUGGGAGGCAGAGGCAGGUGGAUCUCUGUGAGUUCGAGCCUGGUCUACAAGAGCUAGUUCCAGGACAGCCUCC
ensembl:lncRNA